AUUGAACGCUGGCGGCAGGCCUAACACAUGCAAGUCGAGCGGAUGAAGGGAGCUUGCUCCUGGAUUCAGCGGCGGACGGGUGAGUAAUGCCUAGGAAUCUGCCUGGUUGUGGGGGAUAACGUCCGGAAACGGGCGCUAAUACCGCAUACGUCCUGAGGGAGAAAGUGGGGGAUCUUCGGACCUCACGCUAUCAGAUGAGUCUAGGUCGGAUUAGCUAGUUGGUGGGUUAAAGGCCUACUAAGGCGACGAUCCGUAACUGGUCUGAGAGGAUGAUCAGUCACACUAGAACUGAGACACGGUCCAGACUCCUACGGGAGGCAGCAGUCGGGAAUAUUGGACAAUGGGCGAAAGCCUGAUCCAGCCAUGCCACGUGUGUGAAGAAGGUCUUCGGAUUGUAAAGCACUUUAAGUUGGGAGGAAGGGCAGUAAGUUAAUACCUUGCUGUUUUGACGUUACCGACAGAAUAAGCACCGGCUAACUUCGUG
rnacentral:rRNA from 1 species